UACGGAGGGAGCUAGCGUUAUUCGGAAUUACUGGGCGUAAAGCGCACGUAGGCGGCUUUGCAAGUCAGAGGUGAAAGCCCGGGGCUCAACCCCGGAAUAGCCUUUGAGACUGCAUCGCUUGAACAUCGGAGAGGUAAGUGGAAUUCCGAGUGUAGAGGUGAAAUUCGUAGAUAUUCGGAAGAACACCAGUGGCGAAGGCGACUUACUGGACGAUUGUUGACGCUGAGGUGCGAAAGCGUGGGGAGCAAACAGG
rnacentral:rRNA from 1 species